rnacentral:rRNA from 1 species
UACGUAGGGACCGAGCGUUGUCCGGAAUCAUUGGGCGUAAAGAGCGUGUAGGCGGCCACUUAAGUCCUGCGUGAAAUCUUGCGGCUCAACCGCAAGCGGUCGUGGGAAACUGGGUGGCUAGAGUGCGGGAGAGGAGAGUGGAAUCCCUGGUGUAGCGGUGGAAUGCGCAGAUAUCAGGAAGAACACCCGUGGCGAAGGCGGCUCUCUGGAACGCAACUGACGCUGAGACGCGAAAGCCAGGGGAUCAAACGGG